rnacentral:piRNA from 1 species
UGUUCUCGUUAGGUCCAAGAUUAAGCUGAU